CCAACGGCCCUUUUAAGGGCCACCAAUUUCUCCAAAGAGCAGUCAU
rfam:Folsomia candida strain VT population Fcan01_Sc007, whole genome shotgun sequence.